AACUUUCAGCAACGUAUCUCUUGGUUCUGGCAUCGAUUAAGAACGCAGCGAAAUGCGAAAAGUAGUGUGAAUUGCAGAAUUCAGUGAAUCAUCGAAUCUUUGAACGCACAUUGCGCCCCUUGGUAUUCCAUGGGGCAUGCCUGUUCGAGCGUCAUUUGUACCCUCAAGCUUAGUCUUGGUGUUGGGUGUUUGUCCUGCCCUCGCGGCGGACUCGCCUUAAAGUCAUUGGCAGCCGGAAUAAUUCUGGGGAAAGCAGCACAACUGCAGCCUCCAGCCUUAUACGCCGAGCGUCCAACAAGCCUUUUAUUCUUGCGUUUGACCUCGGAUCAGGUAGGGAUACCCGCUGAACUUAAGCAUAUCAAUAAGCGGAGGCU
rnacentral:misc_RNA from 1 species